CAAUAGCGUACAUUAAAGUUGUUGCAGUUAAAAAGCUCGUAGUUGGAUUUCUGGUAGGAGUGACCGUUCCGAACUUGAUUGUUCGUGUAUUGUGUUUUCUCCAGCCAUCCUUGUGGAGAACUUUUCUUGCAUUAAUUUGUAGGGAUUGGGACCCGCAUCGUUUACUGUGAAAAAAUUAGAGUGUUUAAAGCAGGCAAUCGCUUGAAUACAUUAGCAUGGAAUAAUAAGAUAGGACUUUGGUACUAUUUUGUUGGUUUGCAUACCAAAUUAAUGAUCAACAGGAACAGUUUGAGGAUAUUCGUAUGAACAUGUCAGAGGUGAAAUUCUUGGAUUUUGAUCAGACGAACUACUGCGAAAGCAUUUAUCAAGGAUGGUUUCAUUAA
rnacentral:rRNA from 1 species